rnacentral:rRNA from 1 species
AACGAACGCUGGCGGCAUGCCUAACACAUGCAAGUCGAACGAUCCCUUCGGGGAUAGUGGCGCACGGGUGCGUAACGCGUGGGAACCUGCCCUUAGGUUCGGAAUAACUCAGAGAAAUUUGAGCUAAUACCGGAUAAUGUCUUCGGACCAAAGAUUUAUCGCCUUUGGAUGGGCCCGCGUUGGAUUAGCUAGUUGGUGGGGUAAAGGCCUACCAAGGCGACGAUCCAUAGCUGGUCUGAGAGGAUGAUCAGCCACACUGGGACUGAGACACGGCCCAGACGAGAAGGGGAAGCAGAGGGAGGGAGAGUGGGAUGAGGGGGGAAGACCUGGACGAGGAGUGUGGGGGAGGGGGUGAAGGGCUGAGGGUUGUAACGCUUUGUGACACGAGAUGAUAAUGAAAGAGCCGGGAGAAGACGCCACGCCUAACUCCGCGCCAGCAGCCGGGGUAGGAAGCGGAAGAGCCCGCGUGGGAAC